AAGAAGGAGAAAGAGCUUGAUCAUGAAAAAAUAGAGGUUAUUGCAAAUCUAUCAUCUCCAAAUGGAGUAAAAGACAUUCAAAAGAUUUUAGGAUAUAUGGAUUGAUAUUGUAAUUUGAUUGAAUCAUAUUCUACCUAUGCCUCUCUAUUGACUAAAUUGUUGAAGAAGUUCACUAAAUUUGAAUGGACUUCAAAAUAUCAAGCCAAUUUUGAUGCAAUUAAAGCUAAACUGCUUUUAUACUCUUAUCUACUAUCACUUAAUUGAGAUC
rnacentral:lncRNA from 1 species